CAGUAGCCACGGUAAUACGGAGGGAGCUAGCGUUGUUCGGAAUUACUGGGCGUAAAGCGCGCGUAGGCGGUUACUCAAGUCAGAGGUGAAAGCCCGGGGCUCAACCCCGGAACUGCCGUUGAAACUAGGUGACUAGAAUCUUGGAGAGGUCAGUGGAAUUCCGAGUGUAGAGGUGAAAUUCGUAGAUAUUCGGAAGAACACCAGUGGCGAAGGCGACUGACUGGACAAGUAUUGACGCUGAGGUGCGAAAGCGUGGGGAGCAAACUGGAUUAGAUACCCGAGUAGUCCCUGUCUCUUAUAC
rnacentral:rRNA from 1 species